GGUCAGAACAUUUUUCUCAUAGCUUUUUCC
rnacentral:piRNA from 1 species